rnacentral:lncRNA from 1 species
AUGCUGUCACCACAGGAGUCUAAAUGGCCCAUAAAGCCAGGAACACCUUGGAGGUUUCAGCCAUUCUGCUCACUGGGCCGGUGGACUUCAUGGGAUUUUGGCUGUAGACUUCAGAGCUUCUGGAGUUUCUGUCUGUAUCAGUUUUGCCCAAGUGGCACAUUAGGUGUUCAUUGCUCACUGGGGACUGCUGGGGGACAGGCGCGCUAUUUCCUGCUCUGUUGUCUGCCCCAGUCCACUGGGUUUGGAAGUGAGGAGGAAGACUUACCUGGAAGAAGCAGGAGCAGGCGCCCAGAGGAAGAGGGAGAGGAUACCCAAGCUGUGCUAAUGAAAUCUUGUCUUACCAGGAGAUGCGGGAGGAGGCGACCUGUGGGAUGCAAAGCGCCGUUGUGGGAACAUGGGCUGCUCUCUGCUUUGCACUCUGCGGUGGCUGAGGAGUUUAUGGAGGCUGGGAAGUAUGCUGUUAGCAGCCUGGUUAGAAUCCUGGAAGAACAGCACUUGUUCUGGAAAGAAGCACAGGAACAGCAGAGUGAAUGAGAGCAUCAAAGGAGUCCAGGAAGUAAGUGUGAACCAUUCAGGCCUCCUGGAAGCUGCAGCCACUGGGAGGGGCCAUAAGCUCUGUGUGAAUGCCCUGUGUGAAUGUCUGAGAUUCGGGCAAUGCAGUGUUUUAUCCACAGAAAAACCUUGCAAUGAAGGAAGCUCGCAUGAAGCCCGCAUUACCCGGAGUUUCCAACAUGGCCACCUCCGCCUGUGUGUGCCUCCAGCUGUCUGUGAGCAAAACAGCACUGCAAGGUAACAGCCUGCUUUCCUUUGGACGCACAACUGCUGUCACUGCUCCAUCCCGGCUGCUGCUGCAACCCAGAGGGGCUUGGGCUGCAUGGCAGUGACCCUGACCGAGUUGGGGGUGACCUUGGCACUCACCUUUUCUAAAGCUGCUGCUCAUACAAGAUGAGCGUGGAGCACCUGUAGUCCCAGAAAGUGAGGAAACAGGAUGGGGGAUGUCAAAGGGACACGGGAGCCAAACUGGGCAAGUUUGAAGGCCAAAGCCAGAUAGUGCUGGGUUGUAGUCUACCAGGUAAAAUACAUAUCCCUCAGUUCCACUGAUGUACAUGAGGGGUUGAGAAAGCGAGGGAGACAAGAGAAACCUCCCUGGCAGAGGAUUCCAAAUAAUUCAUGCAAUUCCCCGCCCCAGGAGGAGGAGUAAGUGCCUCCCCGCUCCAGGCGGACUGGGCUUAGUGGCCAGGUUCCGAGAGGAGAGACUGGAUGGGAAGGAAGGGCCCACACUGCCUGAGCCAGGGAUGAAGCCAGCAACAGCCAUUCCUGGCUUCUGAUGCUCAACUCAAGAUUUUUUUUUUUUUUUUUACUUUACAAAAGUGAUACACAUGGAGCAGAAAUCAUACUUUGAAUUUUGAAUUUGGAUUUUAUUCCGGGGAAGUGGUAUGUACAGGUCGCCUCUGCAGCAGUACCUGUGACUCCGUCGGCCCUGUGAUCCCCAGGGGAAGCCACCGGCACACAGCGCCGUGCGGCAUUGCUAAGC